rnacentral:rRNA from 1 species
CCUACGGGUGGCAGCAGUGAGGAAUAUUGGUCAAUGGGCUUAAGCCUGAACCAGCCAAGUCGCGUGAGGGAAGACUGCCCUAUGGGUUGUAAACCUCUUUUGUCAGGGAGUAAUUGGCGCUACGUGUAGCGUUAUCGAGAGUACCUGAAGAAAAAGCAUCGGCUAACUCCGUGCCAGCAGCCGCGGUAAUACGGAGGAUGCGAGCGUUAUCCGGAUUUAUUGGGUUUAAAGGGUGCGUAGGCGGAAUGCCAAGUCAGCGGUAAAAUCGCGGGGCUCAACCUCGCUCCGCCGUUGAAACUGGCGGUCUUGAGUGGGCGAGAAGUAUGCGGAAUGCGUGGUGUAGCGGUGAAAUGCAUAGAUAUCACGCAGAACUCCGAUUGCGAAGGCAGCAUACCGGCGCCCAACUGACGCUGAAGCACGAAAGCGUGGGUAUCGAACAGGAUUAGAUACCCGUGUAGUC